UACGGAGGGACCGAGCGUUGUCCGGAAUCAUUGGGCGUAAAGAGCUCGUAGGCGGCUGCUCAAGUCGAAUGUGAAAACUCGAGGCUCAACCUCGAGCCUGCAUUCGAUACUGGGCGGCUAGAGUCUGGUAGGGGGAUCUGGAAUUCCUGGUGUAGCGGUGGAAUGCGCAGAUAUCAGGAGGAACACCGGUGGCGAAGGCGGGAUCCUGGGCCAGUACUGACGCUGAGGAGCGAAAGCGUGGGGAGCAAACAGG
rnacentral:rRNA from 1 species